rnacentral:lncRNA from 12 species
CGCGGAGCACGGUAACCGCGGGUGCCCCUCCCCGGCCGGCCCGGCCUUGCGUGCGGGAGCCUGAGCCCGCCCCUCCGUUGCAGGCGAAUUCCUCGGGGUCCUGUCGGCGACAGCCCGGGAGUCGGGCGCGCCCGUCGGGGACGGCUCGGCGGCGGGGCCGCUCGGCUCGGGUUCGCGCGCGGGGCUGGCGGGCGGCGUGGCGGCCGGGCUGCUGCUGCUGCUGCUGGCGCUGGCGGCGGGCCUGCUGCUGCUGCGCCGCGCUCCGAGGCUCAGGUGGACUAAGCGCGAGCGAUUGGUCGCCACGCCCGUCGAGGCGCCCCUGGGCUUCUCCAACCCGGUGUUCGACGUGGCGGGCUCCGUGGGGCCGGUUCCACGCACCCCGCAGCCUCCCCCAGCGCAGCAGGCGGGAAGCAGCAGCACCAGCCGCAGCUACUUCGUUAACCCGCUGUUCGCCGAGGCCGAGGCCUGAGCAACCGCGGGGCUGGCCAGCCCCUACCUGCGCCCGCCGCCGCCCCCGCGAGAUGGCCCCGGCCUUGCGAGGUCCCCGCCCCCUGCCACGCACGCCUUGUCCCCCCAGCCCAAGGAUAGGGUGGCUUUGCCCAAUAAAGCGUUUCCUGCACCCGGAGUCCGUUGCCCCCAGUGGCCCUCCUGUGCCUGGGCUUGAGCGUGGGGAGCCGGCCAGUGUGCCCGUCAGGCUGCCCACUGGUGAGCGUGCUCCUCAGAAUCCUGCCCUCUGGCCACCAGCAAAGGGCAGCUCCAGGCACUACCCGAAAAUUGCAGUCUGCAGAGCUGCACCCAGAAUGUGGGGAAGGCUGCCCCUGGAGCAGGGGAGCGAGGCGGCGGGUGAGGCUGGCUGUCCAGCACCCCCAGCAGCCAGUAGAACAGCCAGUCCCUUCCCCAGAGGAACAGGA